UUGGGUUAAGUCCCGCAACGAGCGCAACCCUCGUUCUUAGUUGCCAGCAUUUCGGAUGGGCACUCUAGGGAGACUGCCGGUGACAAACCGGAGGAAGGUGGGGAUGACGUCAAGUCAGCAUGCCCCUUACGUCCUGGGCUACACACGUACUACAAUGCUCGAGACAAAGGGCAGCAAGUAUGCGAAUACAAGCAAAUCUCAGAAACUCGGGCUCAGUUCAGAUCGCAGGCUGCAACUCGCCUGCGUGAAGUCGGAAUCGCUAGUAAUUGCAGGUCAGCAUACUGCAGUGAAUUCGUUCCCGGGCCUUGUACACACCGCCCGUCACACCAUGGAAGCUGGUCACGCCCGAAGUCGUUACCCUAACCGUCAAAGGAGGGGGACGCCGAAGGUAGGACUGGUGACUGGGGUGAAGUCGUAACAAGGUAGCCGUACCGGAAGGUGUGGCUGGAUCACCUCCUUU
rnacentral:rRNA from 1 species